rnacentral:rRNA from 1 species
GACGAACCGUGCGAACGUUGUUCGGAUUCACUGGGCUUAAAGGGCGCGUAGGCGGUCGACCAAGUCUGGGGUGAAAUCUUUCGGCUUAACCGGAAAAGUGCCCCCGAUACUGGCCGGCUAGAGGGAGAUAGGGGCAUGUGGAACUUCCGGUGGAGCGGUGAAAUGCGUAGAUAUCGGAAGGAACGCCGGUGGCGAAAGCGACUUCCUGGACCAGUACCGACGUUCAGGCACGAAAGCGUGGGGAGCAAACAGG